rnacentral:rRNA from 1 species
CCCCCGCCAUAGCAAACUCCGAAUACCGAAGAGUGCAAUCACGGGAGACAGACAUCGGGUGCUAACGUCCGGUGUCAAGAGGGAAACAACCCAGACCGCCAGCUAAGGUCCCUAAAUAUUGCUAAGUGGGAAACGAAGUGGGAAGGCUAAAACAGUCAGGAGGUUGGCUUAGAAGCAGCCACCCUUUAAAGAAAGCGUAAUAGCUCACUGAUCGAGUCGUCCUGCGCGGAAGAUGUAACGGGGCUAAGCCAGUCACCGAAGCUGCGGACGCGCCUUGUGCGCGUGGUAGGAGAGCGUUCCGUAAGCCUGUGAAGGUGUCUUGUAAAGGAUGCUGGAGGUAUCGGAAGUGCGAAUGCUGACAUGAGUAGCGAUAAAGGGGGUGAAAGGCCCCCUCGCCGUAAGCCCAAGGUUUCCUACGCAACGUUCAUCGGCGUAGGGUGAGUCGGCCCCUAAGGCGAGGCAGAGAUGCGUAGCUGAUGGGAAGCAGGUUAAUAUUCCUGCACCGUCGUAUGAUGCGAUGGGGGGACGGAUCGCGGAAGGUUGUCCGGGUGUUGGAUGUCCCGGUCCCUGCAUUGGAGAUGGCACUUAGGCAAAUCCGGGUGCGUGAUUCAAGGGUGUGGGGCGAGCGACUUUAGGUCGCGAAGCAAUUGGAAGUGGUUCCAAGAAAAGCCUCUAAGCUUCAGUCAUACGAGACCGUACCGCAAACCGACACAGGUGGGCGAGAUGAGUAUUCUAAGGCGCUUGAGAGAACUCGGGAGAAGGAACUCGGCAAAUUGGUACCGUAACUUCGGGAUAAGGUACGCCCUUGUAGUUUGACUGGCUCGCGCCAGAAGGACGAAGGGGUUGCAAUAAAAUGGUGGCUGCGACUGUUUAAUAAAAACACAGCACUCUGCAAACACGAAAGUGGACGUAUAGGGUGUGACGCCUGCCCGGUGCCGGAAGAUUAAAUGAUGGGGUGCAAGCUCUUGAUUGAAGUCCCGGUAAACGGCGGCCGUAACUAUAACGGUCCUAAGGUAGCGAAAUUCCUUGUCGGGUAAGUUCCGACCUGCACGAAUGGCGUAACGAUGGCCACACUGUCUCCUCCCGAGACUCAGCGAAGUUGAAGUGUUUGUGAUGAUGCAAUCUCCCCGCGGCUAGACGGAAAGACCCCAUGAACCUUUACUGUAGCUUUGCAUUGGACUUUGAACCGAUCUGUGUAGGAUAGGUGGGAGGCUUUGAAACCGGGACGCUAGUUUCGGUGGAGCCGACCUUGAAAUACCACCCUGGUUUGUUUGAGGUUCUAACCUUGGCCCGUGAAUCCGGGUCGGGGACAGUGCAUGGUAGGCAGUUUGACUGGGGCGGUCUCCUCCCAAAGUGUAACGGAGGAGUUCGAAGGUACGCUUGGUACGGUCGGACAUCGUACCUAAAGUGCAAUGGCAAAAGCGUGCUUAACUGCGAGACCGACAAGUCGAGCAGGUGCGAAAGCAGGACAUAGUGAUCCGGUGGUUCUGUAUGGAAGGGCCAUCGCUCAACGGAUAAAAGGUACUCUGGGGAUAACAGGCUGAUACCGCCCAAGAGUUCAUAUCGACGGCGGUGUUUGGCACCUCGAUGUCGGCUCAUCUCAUCCUGGGGCUGUAGCCGGUCCCAAGGGUAUGGCUGUUCGCCAUUUAAAGAGGUACGUGAGCUGGGUUUAAAACGUCGUGAGACAGUUUGGUCCCUAUCUGCCGUGGGCGUUGGAAUCUUGACGGGGGCUGCUCCUAGUACGAGAGGACCGGAGUGGACGUACCGCUGGUGUACCUGUUGUCUCGCCAGAGGCAUCGCAGGGUAGCUAUGUACGGAAGAGAUAACCGCUGAAAGCAUCUAAGCGGGAAACUCGCCUGAAGAUGAGGAUUCCCUGGAGCCUCGAGCUCCUUGAAGGGUCGUUCAAGACCAGGACGUUGAUAGGCUGGGUGUGGAAGCGCAGUAAUGCGUUAAGCUAACCAGUACUAAUUGCCCGUAAGGCUUGAUC